GUAGGGGAAAACCGGGAGACUUGCCCAGGUAGGAGAGUUGAACCACCUUUCAAAAUUGUAUUUGAAUUUAGUGCGAACGAAACGACAAAACGUUCAUUGGUCGCACUCAAGAGGCCAAUCAUAAGUAUGCAGUCAUUUUGCAUCUUAGUGGUGUGGUUCGUCAGUGACAAUGUAAAACGUGUUUCUGUUGCUGCGGAGUUAUUUUUUUGUUUUAAGUAGUUUUGUGAUUGCUGUCAUAUUUAUUGAGUGCCAACUUGUACGAUGCCUUUUCAAUACAAGCCUCCUGAAAAUGCUCGCAAACGAAAAAAACUCACAAAAAUGGAAUUGCAAAAUGCCAUAGAUGAAAUUAAGGGAGGCGCUUCUAUCCGACAAACUUCAAAUAAAUAUGGCAUAGAUAGAACUACUUUGAGACGGUACACAUUAGAUGAAGAUAAAAUUAAUAAAUUUGAAGAAAAAAACAGUCAAUAAGCAUCACAGGUGUUUACAACUGCCGAGGAAAAGCUUCUUGUCAAUUAUUUGUUGACGUGCAGUAAAAUGCAUUAUGGUUUGACAAGAAAACAAGCAAUGCAGUUGGCAUUUGAAUAUGCGACAGUCAAUUCAAAGAAAUUUCCUGAGAGCUGGGCGAAGAAUAACGCCGCUGGGAAAGAUUGGUUUCGAGGCUUUCUUUCCCGUGAUUAUGUUGAUUUUGAAACAAUUUUACAAAAAAAUGUUAUGUUAAUUACAUUUUCUUUGAUAGCAGUAUUAAAAACAAGUUAAUUAUUGUAUAAGAUAAGAUAUUAAAACUAUGAUUGAAGCCGAAAA